rnacentral:rRNA from 1 species
UACGUAGGGGGCAAGCGUUGUCCGGAUUUAUUGGGCGUAAAGAGCGUGUAGGCGGCCUGAAAGGUCAGCUGUGAAAACUCGAGGCUUAACCUCGAGACGUCGGUUGAAACCAUCUGGCUAGAGUCCGGAAGAGGAGUGUGGAAUUCCCGGUGUAGCGGUGAAAUGUGCAGAUAUCGGGAAGAACACCCGUGGCGAAGGCGGCUCUCUGGGACGGUACUGACGCUGAGACGCGAAAGCGUGGGGAGCGAACAGG